GGAUGUAAGGGUAAUCUAGAUGUGACAUCUGUCAACCUAUUGUUUACUAGGGUUGAUUUAACUGAUCUGGCUGAAUAGGCAUGUGUCUCUUUCCUCUCACACUACUCCAUGUAUAUUCCUUCCAAAGCUGCUCAUUCUAAGAAGAUGACAUUCCCCAAAUAGAGUCUUUGGUCUAGGGUAUAUAAGCAGUUGUUCUCCCUUGCUAGAACCUCCAAACAAGCUUUCAAUUCCAACGUCUGUGAACUGACCUCACCCCUGAAUCCACAAUUACUUAUUAAAAACUAGAGAAACUUACACUGGAAAAUGGAAAGUAAUGUCUAAGU
rfam:Erinaceus europaeus unplaced genomic scaffold scaffold00946, whole genome shotgun sequence